rnacentral:rRNA from 1 species
UACGGAGGGGGGCUAGCGUUGUUCGGAAUUACUGGGCGUAAAGCGCACGUAGGCGGCUUUGUAAGUUAGAGGUGAAAGCCCGGGGCUCAACUCCGGAAUUGCCUUUAAGACUGCAUCGCUAGAAUUGUGGAGAGGUAAGUGGAAUUCCGAGUGUAGAGGUGAAAUUCGUAGAUAUUCGGAAGAACACCAGUGGCGAAGGCGACUUACUGGACACAUAUUGACGCUGAGGUGCGAAAGCGUGGGGAGGCA